rnacentral:rRNA from 1 species
AUGCAAGUCGAGCGGUAAGGCCUUUCGGGGUACACGAGCGGCGAACGGGUGAGUAACACGUGGGUGAUCUGCCCUGCACUUCGGGAUAAGCCUGGGAAACUGGGUCUAAUACCGGAUAUGACCUCCUGUCGCAUGGUGGGUGGUGGAAAGAUUUAUCGGUGCAGGAUGGGCCCGCGGCCUAUCAGCUUGUUGGUGGGGUAAUGGCCUACCAAGGCGACGACGGGUAGCCGACCUGAGAGGGUGACCGGCCACACUGGGACUGAGACACGGCCCAGACUCCUACGGGAGGCAGCAGUGGGGAAUAUUGCACAAUGGGCGAAAGCCUGAUGCAGCGACGCCGCGUGAGGGAUGACGGCCUUCGGGUUGUAAACCUCUUUCAGCAGGGACGAAGCGCAAGUGACGGUACCUGCAGAAGAAGCACCGGCUAACUACGUGCCAGCAGCCGCGGUAAUACGUAGGGUGCAAGCGUUGUCCGGAAUUACUGGGCGUAAAGAGUUCGUAGGCGGUUUGUCGCGUCGUUUGUGAAAACCAGCAGCCUCAACUGCUGGCUUGCAGGCGAUACGGGCAGACUUGAGUACUGCAGGGGGAGACUGGAAUUCCUGGUGUAGCGGUGAAUUGCCCAGAUA